rnacentral:lncRNA from 1 species
ACCAAGCAAGUGUUUCACUCAAUCACUCAAGUGUUUAAGGUGACACUCCAACUCUCUAUUGUUCACAAGUCACAUAAAACAAAAUUGCAAUUCAUCUCAAACAAUCAACAUCUUUACAUGCAAAUGUUAUCAAAAGGACUUUUCACGGCUUGUAAUGAGGUUUGGCUAACAAGAAAAAUUGGUUUUUCUAGAAUGCAAAAUCCUUGAGUCAAGAGAACUUAUCAAAAUAUUCAACAAUUAAGCACAACUCUCUCACCAAAAUUUCUCAUUCCCAACUUCUUCCCUUUUCUUUUCUUUUUCAUUGAGCUCAUCUUCAUGCUUUUCUUCUUUUCUUUUCUUUUUCUCAUGAAUUUUUCUCUUUUCACAACAAUUGAGCUCAAUGCCUUUUACUUGUUUUUUUCAAUUUUCCCCCCGUACAACCCCAAACUUGAACCUUUUCAUCAGAUACAAUGAAGCUCAUCCCAACUCAAGGUAAAGAUUUACAAGACAAGGGUUCACAUCCUGUUUUAGGCUAAGGUUAAAAAAAGGGUAAAAUAUUUUCAAGAACUUUGGGUGAAAAUUUGGCCAGAGAAGGGUUUUCAAAAAUGGCCUUGAUCAUAUGACAUUCACAUGCAAUUCAAGGCAAUAUCAUCCAUGUUUUCCUGUGAACAAUGCAUACAACAAUAAAAACUCUGAAGCUCAUAAUCUAACACACAUGCUUUCUCACACAAAAUUCAUUCAUACACCCUGCCUAGCAUCAUGACCACAAUCAUAGAUUCAUUACACAUCUAUUUCACAGAAUAUCAACAUGCAUUACAACUCAAUUCUCUUCCACAUCAAAUAAUCAUCAAUUAGAUCUAUCGUGCACGUCAGUCAGUCAAACAUUUUCAGAACAAGUAUUAAAGCCAAGAAUACACACCAAAAUUAAAAUUCAACCUAUUCUAGGAAUUUACAAUGCAAAAGUGUAAGAAGAAAUUCUAGGUUGCCUCCUAGUAGCGCUUGUUUAACGUCACGAGCCUGACCCAAACCUGAUUGGCACUUGUCAGUAAGUGCACUUCCUUUCACCACCCAUCAGUAGGUGUACCUUCCGGAUAUCCUUCAGUGGAUACCUAUAUCUUCUAACAUCCCCCAGUAGAUGUUAUCCCGGUAGCAUUCAUCCGUAAAUGCUAAUCUUUCUAAUCUUCAUUGGCAUCCAUCAGUAGAUGCCAUAUCAUCUAACAUCCAUCAGUAGAUGAUAUCAUCAUUGCCAUCAGAAGCAGCACAUAACCCAAACAAAAUAAAUAAAAUAAAAUAAAACCAAAUCAAAUAAAAUAAAAAAAAUCAAAUAAAAUAAAAUAAAAUAAAAAUAAAAUAAAAUAAAAUAAAAUAAAAUAAAAUCAAAAAGAAAUUGAAGAUAAAAAAAAUUCAGAAAUUGGGUUGCCUCCCAGCAAGCGCUCUUUUAACGUCAUUAGCUUGACCCGGUAAAGCCAAACACCCAUCAGUAGGUGUUGAAAUUUUAUGUUGGUGUUCCUCCUUCCUUCAUGACACCAACAACAUCUCGGAAAUUUCCUUUGUCACCAAAUGUAAGAGCUCUGUUUGCUUUGAUAGUCUUGACAACCUAUAACCUAAUUUUGAAUUUCAUUGAUGUGCCAGGUUAGGGUUUGUCACUUUUCACAUCAGGGUGUUGGUGAACCAAUUCUUCUUCCUUAUCUACCUCCUGAUGAUCUUGUGCUCCUAGUACCAAAAUUUUUAUCCUGCAUACACUAAAGAACACUGCACUAGAGCACCGAAUUAGCCCAAAAAAUAAAAAUAGUAAAAGAUAAUUUUAAUUUUAAUUUUAAUUUUAAUUUUCGUUUUUUUUUUUGUUUUUUUUUUGUUUUUUUCUUUUUUAGAAAAGAUAAAAGAAGAAAAAAAAUAAAUAAACACAAAAAAUAAAAUAAAAAGAUAGAAAGAAAAAUAAAUAGAAAGAUAGGGAGGUAGAUAGAUGGAAAGAUAAGGAGAAGGAUGAUGGAAAGAAUGUGAAGAAGAAUAAGGAGAAGAAUAUGGAAAGAUAUUAUUUUAUUUUAUUUUCAUUUUUUUUUUAUAAAAACAGAAAGAAAAUAAAAAUAAAAAUAAAAUAAAAUAAAAUAAAAUGAAAUAAAAUAAAAUAAAAUAAAAUAAAAUAAAAUAAAAUAAAAUAAAUCAAAUCAAAUCAAAUAAAAUAAAAUAAAAUCAAAUCAAAUCACAUCAAAUCAAAUAAAACAAAAUAAGAUAAAAUCAAAAUCAAAUCAAAUAAGACAAAUAAAAUAAAAAGAAAGUCUAAUCGAUCAAGAAUCGCACACAUAGAAUAGUUCUACCAUGAGUCCUCGGCAACGACGCCAAAAACUUGUUGACAAAUUGGCAAGCGUACCAAAUCGUAUAAGUAAUAAUAAAAUGGUAAGUCCAAGUAUCAUUUUCCCAAGAGACUAACGGCACUAAACUGUUGUGCUUUUGCUUAACCAAUCAAGACUAUAAAAAUAAUAUUUUGGGCAAUAUCAUCCAUGUUUUCCUGUGAACAAUACAUGCAACAAUAAAAACUCUGGAGCUCAAAAUCUCACACACAUGCUUCCU